rnacentral:rRNA from 1 species
UGGGGAAUAUUGCACAAUGGGCGCAAGCCUGAUGCAGCCAUGCCGCGUGUAUGAAGAAGGCCUUCGGGUUGUAAAGUACUUUCAGCGGGGAGGAAGGCGAUAAGGUUAAUAACCUUGUCGAUUGACGUUACCCGCAGAAGAAGCACCGGCUAACUCCGUGUCAGCAGCCGCGGUAAUACGGAGGGUGCAAGCGUUAAUCGGAAUUACUGGGCGUAAAGCGCACGCAGGCGGUCUGUCAAGUCGGAUGUGAAAUCCCCGGGCUCAACCUGGGAACUGCAUUCGAAACUGGCAGGCUAGAGUCUUGUAGAGGGGGGUAGAAUUCCAGGUGUAGCGGUGAAAUGCGUAGAGAUCUGGAGGAAUACCGGUGGCGAAGGCGGCCCCCUGGACAAAGACUGACGCUCAGGUGCGAAAGCGUGGGGAGCAAACA